rnacentral:rRNA from 1 species
GACGAACGCUGGCGGCGUGCCUAACACAUGCAAGUCGAACGAACAAGCCAGCUUGCUGGUGGCUUAGUGGCGAACGGGUGAGUAACACGUGGGUGAGCUGCCCCAAACUUUGGGAUAAGCCUGGGAAACUGGGUCUAAUACCGAAUAUGACCGAUAUACGCAUGGGUGUUGGUCGAAAGCUCCGGCGGUUUGGGAUGGGCCCGCGGGCUAUCAGCUUGUUGGUUGGGUAAUGGCUUACCAAGGCGGCUAUGGGUAGCCGGCCUGAGAGGGCGACCGGCCACACUGGAGCUGAGACACGGUCCAGACGCCUGCGGGAGGCAGCAGUCGGGAAUCGGCCGCAAUGGGCGAGAGCAUGACGGAGCAACGCCGCGUGAGUGAUGAAGGUCUUGGGAGCGUAAAACUCUGUUAUUAGUGAAGAACAAAUGUGUAAGUAACUGUGCACGUCGUGACGGUACCUGGUCAGAAAGCCCCGGCUAACUACGUG